rnacentral:rRNA from 1 species
AACGAACGCUGGCGGCAUGCCUAACACAUGCAAGUCGAACGAGACCUUCGGGUCUAGUGGCGCACGGGUGCGUAACGCGUGGGAACCUGCCCUUAGGUUCGGAAUAACUCCCCGAAAGGGGUGCUAAUACCGGAUAAUGUCUUCGGACCAAAGAUUUAUCGCCUUUGGAUGGGCCCGCGUUGGUUUAGCUAGUUGGUAGGGUAAAAGCCUACCAAGGCGACGAUCCAUAGCUGGUCUGAGAGGAUGAUCAGCCACACUGGGACUGAGACACGGCCCAGACUCCUACGGGAAGCAGCAGUGGGGAAUAUUGGACAAUGGGCGAAAGCCUGAUCCAGCAAUGCCGCGUGAGUGAUGAAGGCCUUAGGGUUGUAAAGCUCUUUUACCCGGGAUGAUAAUGACAGUACCGGGAGAAUAAGCUCCGGCUAACUCCGUG